AUGGGUGCCAUCGCCAGCCACCUGUCAAGGAGGGACGAGAUGCCGCUCCACGUGAGGAUCUCCGACUACUCCAACUUGGUGUGGGCGCCUCUGCUUCACCCGGAGACUAUCCGCACAUUCUCCUUCGGUGACAUCUUGUGGAGCAUCACAGUGGAGCCGAGGCAAUUCAACGAGGGCAUAGCAGAUCACCUCCAUGUCUCGGUCCGCUCCCGAUUCAGGUACAAACCAGACUUGGUGCUCCAAGGCAUCGACAUCUCCAUGGAAGUUCUGACGAGACCGGCGAGCACACCGUCUUCCACGAGGAGACCAAUGGGAUGCUGGAAUCCGAUAGGGUCUUGA
rnacentral:rRNA from 1 species